rnacentral:rRNA from 1 species
CAUGAAGCUGGAAUCGCUAGUAAUCGCGGAUCAGAAUGCCGCGGUGAAUACGUUCCCGGGUCUUGUACACACCGCCCGUCACCAUGGGAGUCGGAAAUGCCCGAAGCCGGUGACUCAACCUUUAAGGAGAGAGCCGUCGAAGGCAGGUCUGAUAACUGGGGUGAAGUCGUAACAAGGUAGC